rnacentral:lncRNA from 1 species
UAGGAGGCAGCCCACAAUUUUAAAUAAUUGAAGGUCCAACAUUCUUUUUAAUAAACUGAGCCCAAUUGAAAAUUAAUGGCCCCAUUUGAUUUAAUAAGUAAAGGCCCAAACUGAAACAAAAAUAAACAAAAACUCGGCCCAACACUCAAUUAAAAUCGGCCCAAGUCAAAUCCACCCUCAAACCCAAACCUAAAGCCCAACAUCCCAUCCCCCUUUCUUCCCUAUUCUCUCUCUCGGUCACACUCACACACACACGCAGCAGCACCCUUCCCAUCUCACUCUCUCUCUCUCUUCACGCCAAAAUUCCGCCACCGCGGUUCUACCUCCGGCGGCCGCAGCGAGCCACGGCCGCUGCCCUCUUGGUCGCCAGCGAGCAAAACAGACGGCCACCACCGCCGUCCGCCGACUCCGACUCUCCUCUCCCUCCGACCGUGGCCGAGCGACAGCGGCAGGGCCGCCGCGCCCUGGCCUCCCUCGGAACUCUCUCUCUCGGCUCACUAGACUGCCCGACCCGACGCCUCACCUCUCUGUCUCCGGCAGACGACGACAACGUCGCCCCUGUCUCCCUCUCUCUCUCACCAUCCUCGGCCCGGCAGCAGUGGCAGAGCCGCCGUGCCGUGCCUCUCCUUCAAAACUCCGGCCGACUGCAGCAGGAGAACCACCGCCGCCGACCGCAUCAGCCUCCCUCCCCCUUGAUUUCGACUCACACACAGCAAGCACACAUACUCAACAUCAUAAGCUUCUUCACCC